rnacentral:rRNA from 1 species
CUUUUAAUUGAAGGCUUGAAUGAACGGUUGGAUGAAAGAAUAUAGCUGUCUCUAAUAAUUUAAAACUUGACUUUUAAGUGAAAAGGCUUAGAUUUAAUAAGGGGACGAUAAGACCCUAUAAAACUUUAUAAAUGAAGUAUGUAAUCUCUAAAUUAUAUUAAAAUGUUGAUAAGUAUUUUAUUUAUUUCGUUGGGGCGACGUUGAUAUAAUUUGUAACUGUCUAAAUGAAUAAUAUAAUCGUCAUUAUACUUUGAUCCUUCUUUGUGGAUUAUAAGACUAAGUUACUUUAGGGAUAACAGCGUA